rnacentral:rRNA from 1 species
GAAAAGAAACUAACAAGGAUUCCCCUAGUAACGGCGAGUGAAGUGGGAAAAGCUCAACUUUGAAAUCUGGCAGCUUCGCUGUCCGAGUUGUAGUCUCGAGAAGUGUUUUCCGCGCUGGACCAUGUAUGAGUCUGUUGGAAUACAGCGUCAUAGAGGGUGAGAACCCCGUUCAUGACAUGCCUUCCAGUGCUUUGUGAUACACUUUCGAUGAGUCGAGUUGUUUGGGAAUGCAGCUCAAAAUGGGUGGUAAAUUCCAUCUAAAGCUAAAUAUUGGGGAGAGACCGAUAGCAAACAAGUACCGUGAGGGAAAGAUGAAAAGCACUUUGGAAAGAGAGUUAACAGUACGUGAAAUUGUCGAAAGGGAAACGCUUGAAGUCAGACGUGCGUAGUGCCUUCGGGUGCUGUUGCAGGCCAGCAUCAGUUUUUCGAGCCGGAUAAAGGUGGGAGAAAGGUAGCAGUCUCGGCUGUGUUAUAGCCUCCCACUGAAUACGGAUUGUGAGACUGAGGAAUGCGAUUCUAGGAUGCUGGUGAAAUGGCUUUAAACGACCCGUCUUGAAACACG